rnacentral:rRNA from 1 species
GUGCAGCAGGCGCGAAUCCUUUGCAAUGCGCGAAAGCGUGACAAGGUGACUCCGAGUGCUCAUGCGUAAGCAUGAGCUUUUCCCGAGUGUAAACAGCUCGGGGAAUAAGGGCCGGGCAAUACCCGUGCCAGCCGCCGCGGUAAUACGGGAGGCCCGAGUGGUGCCCGCGAUUACUGGGCUUAAAGCGUCCGUAGCCGGUCCGGUAAGUCCUUGGUGAAAGCCCCAGGCUUAACCUGGGGAGGUGCCAAGGAUACUGCCGGUCUAGGGAGCGGGAGAGGCGAGGGGUACUCCGGGGGUAGCGGUGAAAUGCGUUGAUCCUCGGGGGACCACCGGUAGCGAAGGCGCCUCGCUGGAACGCGUCCGACGGUGAGGGACGAAGGCCAGGGGAGCGACCCGGAUUAGAUACCGUGUAGU